rnacentral:rRNA from 1 species
ACGCUCGACACCUACGGGGGCAGCAGUCGGGAAUAUUGCGCAAUGGAGGGAACUCUGACGCAGUGACGCCGCGUAUAGGAAGAAGGUUUUCGGAUUGUAAACUAUUGUCGUUAGGGAAGAGAAAGGACAGUACCUAAGGAGGAAGCUCCGGCUAACUACGCGCCUGCAGCCGCGGUAAUCUGAGCGGGCUGGCAAGGC